rnacentral:tRNA from 1 species
AAGGAAGACCUAAUUCAGGUAGGAGACGAAAAAAAAGUAGUCGCUACCAAGAAUCAAUCCCAAAAGGUCGGAGCGAGGCGAAAUUGGCUUUCAAACUAGGUUCUGGGUUCACACAAGACCUGAAUCAGGAACAAGGGCUAUUAGCUCAGGUGGUUAGAGCGCACCCCUGAUAAGGGUGAGGUCCCUGGUUCGAGUCCAGGAUGGCCCACCUGUACAGGUGGCAAAAAGAAAGAAAAGAAGCGAGGAAUCAGCACCUUAUCUUACUGACAUAGUAAGAGAGAAUGCUGGCUCUGAGUAAAGAGUCCAGAGGAACCUUGAAAACUGCAUAGAGCUAGGUGAAAAAGCCAAAAAAGAAGACCGCAA